rnacentral:misc_RNA from 1 species
AAAUGCGAUAAGUAAUGUGAAUUGCAGAAUUCAGUGAAUCAUCGAAUCUUUGAACGCACCUUGCGCUCCUUGGUAUUCCUUGGAGCAUGCCUGUUUGAGUAUCAUGAAAUCUUCAAAGUAAAUCUUUUGUUAACUCAAUUGGUUUCUACUUUGGUAUUGGAGGUCUUUGCAGCUUCACACCUGCUCCUCUUUGUUCAUUAGCUGGAUCUCAGUGUUAUGCUUGGUUCCACUCGGCGUGAUAAGUUAUCUAUCGCUGAGGACACUGUAAAAGGUGGCCAAGGUAAAUGCAGAUGAACCGCUUCUAAUAGUCCAUUGACUUGGACAAUACUAUUAUGAUCUGAUCUCAAAUCAGGUAGGACUACCCGCUGAACUUAAGC